UGACCACCUGACAGUGGUGAUGCCUCAUC
rnacentral:piRNA from 1 species